AUGCACAAGAAUAGAGUGCAACUUUCAGAUAAUUUUCUUCCCUCGGGAUAUUUGAAGAUUGUUUGUUACCCAUCAAGUUCAGGAAAACCAAGGGUAUCAUAUGAAUUGGAUUACGCAAAAGACAAAGAGAUAAAAGGAAGCUACACCGGUUGUUUCUUUGGCAAUUACAAAUCAGCAUCCAUCAUCUACGGACACCAGAGGAAUAUGUUGUUGGAGAAGGUGCAGCAUUGCGGUGAGCAGCAGGUUGUGUCGUCGUGGUGGUCACCCUCAGCUACGAUGGUGUGCAGUCCUUGGCACCGGGAAUCGGCCUGGGAUGUCAUGGAGGGGAGAGGAGGGGGCGUGGCGCUGGCAGCAAGGUGCGAGCUAAAUGAUGUGGCGUCGAGGGGAGACGACAAUGAGAAGCCGUGGUGGGCAGAGCACCCAGGGAAUUGA
rnacentral:rRNA from 1 species